rnacentral:lncRNA from 1 species
ACACAAAGGAUCAAGGAGACUUACCCACAGAUAAGAACCUCGGUGUUGUAUAAGCAGAGAAAGAAAACACAGCCUCCUUCAGGCUUGCCAAAGAGACAAGAAAUCACAGCAUUAGAAGAAGGAGGCAGCAAGGGUUCUCCCUCCUGCAACAAUUCUUCAUCCACAGCAGCUUCUGGAAGUGCUGUUUUGUGUCUCCCCUCAGCUUCCCAGAACUGUCCUACAGUUCAGACUGUCCUUAGCACAACAGGGUUGAGGAGCCUGUCCCAAGAAAGGAUUCCUGAUGGGAUAUUUCCUGUUCACAUUACUGUCUUUCUCAUGAGAAUCCACUGUCAGACCCCAUGCCUCCUUGUGGUCUCUGACAGAUGGUGGCAUCCAACUGGACCCUGACUGAGCAAAGUAAGGAGGAGUCAGUGACAUGAGACGAUACUGGUGGUGCUGGAGUGUGAGGCACAAUCCACAGCCAACACUCAUGUUACAAGAACUGCAACAAGAAAAAAAAAUACUUGUGUGAUUGCUUGUGGCCACUCCAAAUAAAAACAAUCAAGAAUGCA